rnacentral:rRNA from 1 species
UCCUACGGGAGGCAGCAGUGAGGAAUAUUGGUCAAUGGGCGCAAGCCUGAACCAGCCAUCCCGCGUGCAGGAAGACGGCCCUAUGGGUUGUAAACUGCUUUUCCAGGGGGAGAAACUUCCGUACGUGUACGGAAUUGACGGUACCCUGGGAAUAAGCAUCGGCUAACUCCGUGCCAGCAGCCGCGGUAAUA